rnacentral:rRNA from 1 species
AAUCAACGCUGGCGGCGUGCCUAACACAUGCAAGUCGAGCGGUAAGGCCCUUUCGGGGGUACACGAGCGGCGAACGGGUGAGUAACACGUGGGUGACCUGCCCUCAGCUCUGGGAUAAGCCCGGGAAACUGGGUCUAAUACUGGAUAUUACUCUGCGGUGCAUGCCGUGGGGUGGAAAGCCUUGUGCGGCUGGGGAUGGGCCCGCGGCCUAUCAGCUUGUUGGUGGGGUGANGGCCUACCAAGGCGACGACGGGUAGCCGGCCUGAGAGGGCGACCGGCCACACUGGGACUGAGACACGGCCCAGACUCCUACGGGAGGCAGCAGUGGGGAAUCUUGCGCAAUGGGCGAAAGCCUGACGCAGCGACGCCGCGUGAGGGAUGACGGCCU